UCCCUGAUGAGCUUCUCCGAAGUAUAAAUUUGGAUUACUUACAUUCUGAGAAGGUUGUUCAACAUGAUUGUCGAGUACGUAUAGUGAUGUUAACUUUGUCUUCAUGUCAUGUAAUAAUCCAAAGGAAAAUUAAAUUUUUUAUUUUAUUUUUUUGCAGAUCAGUGAUGAAAUAAUUUUAUCUGAUUCACAAUUCACAAUCCCUGAUGAGAUGUUACCGAGCCUAAAUGUCUAUCAAAUACAAAGCAUCAUCAUACAUCCAUCGGCAAACCGUUAAGAAGAACAUGAAAAUUUGUAUGCAAAAACUUCUGAGACUGUUAUUGAAGAUCAUGCUCAAAUGAACAAAGGGAUCAUUGAUUUGAGUUCAAAUUCACUCGUGAAUUCAGAGGUCAAACUUGCUACAGAGGAGCAAGUUAGGACACCUCCUAAUACACAAGAAUUAACCAAUGAUGAACAGAGGGAUGAACAUUUGUGGCCUGAUUCUCAAAACAUAAUCUCAGAUGAGUUUCUACCUAGCUUGAAUGUCUACGAUCAAAAAAGCAUCAUGAUUCAUCCAUCCGCUAAUCAUGAAGUUAACACUCCCAGACCAAAGUUAAGGAUUAGGCGACCAUCAAAAUUCAAGGAAUCUCCAUACACCAAAAAAUUUAGUUCAGCAGCUGGGAGCUUAGCAGGGCUAAUACGCAUAUUCCCCUAAAAACAUCCAUUUUUUAUAUCACCCGAUUGAUGGGAUAAUAGAUACGAAGAUUGUCAAGAACUUCAACGACUGGAUUUCUGCCGACCUAUUAGAAGCUACUGCCAAGAGGUAGUUCUUUUGAAUUGCUUCAAAUUAUUUUUUUGUAUCAAUGCAUGUUUUGAAGCUUUGCGACUAUGCCAUUCUUGGCGACGGUGAUCGCCGACGAGAAGGUGACGGCCACCCCAGUCAGAUGUCUCAGAAAGGGUAGUGAUCUCCCCCUGAAAAGUAUCACGAUCAUAA